AAAGAUCAGUAGAAGCUCCCCAUACAAUGAAACCUGAGCUCUGUGAAAGGCAGCCAGCCCCAGGUGACUAAGUCUCGAUGGGAGAAGAAGACACUUCUCAAGAUGGGAGGCAGUUUUACAGAGAACCAGCCACCACUCUGCUCCAGGAGUGGAAGGUCCCUAAGAACUCAACUGGGAGAUUUGAAUUUCGAGUGGUCACCCCACGCCUGCACUACUCCACACCUGCGCUACCUCACACCUGAGCUGCCCCACAGCUGGGUCACUCCACACCCAAGCCACUCUUCACCUGUGCUAGUCACCCCACACCUGCUACUUCCCACCUGAGCUGCCCCACACCUGAGCCCACACCUGGAUUUGGGAGUUUUCCAAGUCAUAUAAAAUGGUUUAUCUGCCCUGCUAACACCUCU
rnacentral:lncRNA from 1 species